CGUCUCUCACCAACACCUCGUAACCCUAGAGAACCCCGUCGUAUCUGUCAUUCACCAACGUGAACCGCCAGUCGAAAAUUACCUCCGUCGGCGGCGGAGCUCCGAUGACCGUCAAAAUAACACCAUCGACUCCCCUCCCUCUCCUCUUUCAAAAUCCCCAAACCCUAUUCCUCAAAACCAAGCCCAGCUCCUCAUUGGUGUUUAUUGUUGUAAACAGGUACUCCUUGAUCUCUAGGAAUUGACAUGCGAACAUAUAAGCUGUAAUUGCCUGAGAUUUGCAAUCAAAGGAUGAAAUGUGCUUCAAAACCAACUAUUUUUAAAACAAAACUUUUUUUUUCAUUUUAUUUUUCUCAAAAAUUCGGCAGAGUUAGUACCAUCUGGCCAUUGGUUUUUCCAAAACAGGUGAUGCUAUUCUCUUUUUCCAACUUUCUUAUUCAAAAGCUGGUCAGCAUGCGAAGCCAAAGCAAAUGAAUACACAAGUAGCAAGUAAGAUGCAUCAAGAUGGUCUUUUUCAUUUUUGGUACACCUGUCCUAGACAGACCCAACCCCUAUGUUGUGUCUCUAAAGUCAAAAGCACAUGAUGCAAGCAAAAGUCCCUACUAGAGAUCCAGCAUGAGGUAUUGUUAUACUAAGGUUAAAACCUAGGUUUAUUGUUCUAUACCCGAGCAGACAGCUCGAGCCGGGGGGCAGCGUAUCGGGAAUAUAGAAGCUUCUCAGGCUUUACAACUUGUCUGAACUUCGUUCUAACAUUUGGGAUAUCUCUCUAAUAGAAAAGAAGUCACACGAAGUGCACACUUCUUCAUGAUUUUUAAGACUCAGAGAGAGGACGGGUUUCAUAGCAGUAUAUGUACAGUUCACAAAAUAUCAAAGAUAUAAAAGCAUUUAGCACAUUAGGUCCAAACAAAAAGAUAAAAUCAAGUAAUAAAUAAAGCCAAAUAUAACAAUUAUUCUAAGCUCAAAUUCUUGAACCCGGAACUAGAGAUUCUGGGUUCGAUACCCAGCAGAGUCGCCGGAGCUGUCACACCUUCUUUUUUACCUACACCCCCCACGGAUGGGUGUAAGGGGAGUUUUUUUCAAUUUAAGUGACAAUCGAAACGGGAUUAUUUAUUAACAAAUUCAGAGUCGCCACUUGGGAUAAUUUGCGGUAUCUCAAGUCACCGGUUUUAAAUGCUGAAUCGAGGAAAAUACUGACUCUGUUUUACAAUCCGCAAACAAGAAAUUCGGGUAAAGAAUUCUAUUAACCCGCGAGAAGGUGUUAAGCAUUCCCGAGUUCCGUGGUUAUAGAACGGUCGCUCAAUUAUUAUUUUCGUCAAAAUUAUCUUAUUUUAAAAACACUUUUAAACCUCUAUGCAUUUUUAGCUUUAAAAUCUCACACUUUUUUUAACAUAAAUGUAUGAUACUUGUAUUACUUAAAACAUGUUACAAUAGGAGGACAUAGUCUUUUGCGCAUUACUAUUGCCCAUACUUGCUAAGUGCAAACAUCAGUAUAGAUAAUUUUAAUACUAUUUUAAAGUUCAUGCUUGUAACAAUCACACUUUACACAAUGGUACCUAAUUACUUCUUCAAGUUGGCAUGAACAGAGUCACAUUGCAUGUCUAACAAAGCCAUAAACACCUACAAAAUCCUCCCUCAAUCCCCAUCAAUUUGGAUAAUUCCUAUUGUACAUCCAUGUGCGAUGUUUCAUCUAUACAAAUAAAACAAAAAUAAAUUGAGAUAUUUCCAUAAGAAUUAGAACUACUUAAUUUAUUCUACAAUUAUUAAUUAAUUAAAUCAUUUUUAGUUAAUUAAUAUAACUAUUUUUAACCAAUUACAUUAAAACUAAAUUAAAAUAAUUAUAAUAAACUAUAAUUCAUUCAAUUUAAAUAUAAACUAUAAGUUCAAUUCAACCCCAAAAAAUUCAACACUACUCCCUAAAAGUUCAAUUCAUAUUCAAAAAGUUAAAUUGAUAUCCUAAAAGUUCAAUUCAUAUCCAAAAAGUUCAAUCAUUACCCCUAAAAGUUCAAUUCAUAUCCUAAAAGUUCAACUCAUACCCUAAACAAUUCAAUUUAUAUCCUAAAAAAAUUAAUUAACCUCACACAACAUAAGCUCUAUCCAAAAAAUUCAACACAUACUUCUAAAAAUUCAAUUCAUAUCCUAAAAGUUCAAUUCACAAGAACAAAUCCUAAAAACUCAAUUCAAUUCGAAAUUAAAAAUUCAAUUCCUAACUAAACUAUUCAAUUCAAUACAAACUUAACAUUCAAUUUACACAAUAUGUAAUUAAUUCAAUUCAGUUCAGUUAAAACAAGACCUAAACCCUAGAUUUUAAUAAGUUAACCAAUCAAUUUAAACACUGAUUAACUAAUUUGUAACUAAUUAAAAAACAUUAAAUUUAUUAAAAAAGAUGUAAGUUCUAAUUCAAACCUAGAAUUUCUAGGAGGUUAAGGAGGAGGGCGGCAGUGGAGACAGUAGCAGGAGUGGCGACGGUGGCAGUGGCGAUGCAGCAGCGGUGCCGAUGUGGGGUGGGGAAUGCGCUUUGUGUGAGCGAAAUAGAGAAGGAGCGGGGAAGGGUGUUUUGUGUGUGAGGGAGAAGAGAGUGGGAGUUAGAAAAUUUUGAGUAUUUGAGAAUAAGAGAAAUGAGGGGGAAAGGCCGUAUUUCAGAUCUGGAAUUAAAGGUACCAAUGACUUUGUUCGGUAAAGUCGGUCGGCAC
rnacentral:lncRNA from 1 species